rnacentral:rRNA from 1 species
UACGUAGGGUGCGAGCGUUGUCCGGAAUUAUUGGGUGUAAAGGGCUCGUAGGCGGUUUGUCGCGUCGGGAGUGAAAUCCACUGGCUUAACUGGUGGCUUGCUUUCGAUACGGGCAGACUGGAGGUAUGCAGGGGAGAACGGAAUUCCUGGCGUAGCGGUGAAAUGCGCAGAUAUCAGGAGGAACACCGGUGGCGAAGGCGGUUCUCUGGGCAUGUCCUGACGCUGAGGAGCGAAAGUGUGGGGAGCAAACAGG